UUGUCGUUGUGUAAUGUGUUCCUCUCCAGUCCGAAACCCCCCAUCUUUGAAAUGGACAGCGACAUUUCCCGGUGGGUCCUCGAAUUCCUCCUCCGCAGCUCCGUCCCCGAUUCCCUCAUCCAGAAAGCCCUAACCUCACUCCCUCUCUCCGGCGCCGAUCUCCGCCUCAAGCACACCCUCCUCCUCCGCACCCUCCACACCCUCCUCCUCCACGCCUCCCUCCCCGACACCGCCCUCCACAUCCUCGAGCUCCUCGAGCCCCACUCCAACGACGCCUCCGCCGCCUCCCUCCGCCGCGCCUACCGCGCCGUCGCCGUCGAGUGCACCGUCAAGUACCUCGCCGCCGUCCCCGACGCCCCCUCCGCCGAGUACUCCGCCGCCGUCGACCGCAUCUGGCGCGGCCGCGUGGCGGCGCUGGAGGCGCGCCGCAGCGGGAUCGCCUCCUCCGGCGAGUUGGCGCGGUGGCGCGACGACGUGGAGGCCGCGGUUUGGGACCCUAGGGUUCGCGAGAGGCUCGCGGGGCUGAAUAGUCGGAAGGAAGCGUUUGAUGAGGUGGGGGCGUAUUUGAAGGAAGCGUGGGAAGCGAUGGGUCCUUCGUUUCUGGAAUCGAUGUCGAAUGCCAAGGGUCAAGAAGGGUUGGAGAAUUCGGCGAAGGAGAAAGAGCGUUCUGAUUAUGAUGAUGAUGAUGGUGAUGCAUGCAUGAAGAAUUUGGCAACGCGUGAUGGAAAUGAGGAAGUGGGUGGGGGUGACUUGCCUCCCCAGAGAGGUAAAGUUGUACGCAUGUCCCCAAUAGAAACUCAGAAACGGAAAUCUCAGCUUAAACACAAGCACUCUGCACUUCGUACAUGUAAUAGGGGAGUUAAAAUAUCUGAUCCUGAGGAAGUGGAGCCAGCAAAAUGGAAGAGCAAACAUGAUCCUGUACCUAGUGCCGAAGCUAGUAAAGUUCGGGAAUCCCUUAAAUCAAGUUCUUUGGAGUUACAAGCAUUGGUCGAGGAUCCUCUUCCUGAUGCAUUGCAUAAAUCUGAAGUUAUAAGAUCGAAAUCUGCAACAAGAGAUACGAAUAUUGAACCACCUAUUGAAAACCAGAGUGAAGAUGUAGAUGUACCAGAUCCAGAUGUUUGCAGAAGUAUUGUACUUUUUCAGCCUAAAGAUGCCAAUCUUGUUAAGAAGUCUCCCGAUCCUUGUAGUAAUGUUCAUCAGCCUAACAUAAUGGAACGGAAUAGAACUGCACGUACCUAUGAGUGGGAGGAUUCAACAGAUAACUCAUCACAAGCAAGACAGACAAGGAGGAGGAAAAGGAAAUGGUCUUCGUUAGAAGAGGAAACACUAAGGGCCGGUGUACAAAUGUUUGGAGAAGGAAACUGGGCGACAAUCCGAAGUUUUUACAGUAACGUAUUUGAAAAUAGAAGUGGAGUUGAUCUAAAGGACAAGUGGAGAAACAUGAUACGGUGAACAGUCAUGUGUAAAUAUCUUGGGAGGUAAGGGAGAGGGCUAUCACCAGUUGUGAAACUGAAACCUACACCUCAUGAACUGAAGAAAAAGGCUCAAGAUUUUUUUCUUAUAGCGAGGUAAUGACAAUUUUGAUAUCAGGUUCUCUCUUUGCAAUCUCGUUUUUUUUGUUGAAACAUGAUCCAAAUAGUACAGUUAGCAAGGACCGACUGGUAUCCAAAGCCCAUUAUAUAAGUGCCCUUUCAAAAGCAUCAUUAAUCUCUGUUCUGAUUUCAAGUCUCAGCUGAAGGUUCCCCUAAUAUGGUAUUGGUAUGUUCGGUACGAAAAGAAAUCAUGGCAAUUUCGAGGUCUGAAUUGUACUACUACUAAUUAACAUUGAAUUUUGUAUGAUGUUUUUCAUUUCUUUUGUAAAUGCAGUUAUUCCUUGAUACGCUACGAGUAUGAUGAUAGCCAUGUAUUUUUAAUCUAACGGGUACAUGUUUUUAUCUAGUAGUUAAGUCAUAGAUGGCGUAUUUCCAAAAAUCACCAGCAUCAACUUGAA